rnacentral:rRNA from 1 species
AGUGAACGCUGGCGGUAGACCUAACACAUGCAAGUCGAACGGCAGCACAGUAAGAGCUUGCUCUUACGGGUGGCGAGUGGCGGACGGAUGAGGAAUACAUCAGAAUCUACUUUUUCGUGGGGGAUAACGUAGGGAAACUUACGCUAAUACCGCAUACGACCUACGGGUGAAAGCAGGGGAUCUUCGGACCUUGCGCGAUUGAAUGAGCCGAUGUCGGAUUAGCUAGUUGGCGGGGUAAAGGCCCACCAAGGCGACGAUCCGUAGCUGGUCUGAGAGGAUGAUCAGCCACACUGGAACUGAGACACGGUCCAGACUCCUACGGGAGGCAGCAGUGGGGAAUAUUGGACAAUGGGCGCAAGCCUGAUCCAGCCAUACCGCGUGGGUGAAGAAGGCCUUCGGGUUGUAAAGCCCUUUUGUUGGGAAAGAAAAGCAGCAGGUUAAUACCCCGCUGUUCUGACGGUACCCAAAGAAUAAGCACCGGCUAACUUCGUG